ACGGCCAUACCAUGCUGAAUAUACCGGUUCCCGUUAGAAAACCUCACCGAAGUCAAGCAUCAUUGGGCGCGGUCAGUACUUGGGUGGGUGACCACCUGGGAUCACCGCGUGCCGUU